CCGUGCGAUACGUUCGUUGCUGUUGUGCUGCUGUUCCCUUUACCAUCAGCUCCUGUUCAGGUUGCGGACCGCAUCUUCUGUGCCCGUACAUGUCGGCUAAGUUCCUAUAUGGAAGGGGGUCGUGUGAUUAAAUCGUCUGUUGCUUGUUUAGCAUCUUCCUCUAAUUCAGCUGCCAGCGAAUAUGUUUGGGAGACUGUUGCUCCACCCCGUCAGGAUGAUGGAUUUUUCCCUAUCUACCCUGCAUGGUAUUCUUCAAAAAGACGGCAAAUGCGUUCAAAAAAAUUGGCCAUGAAACGAUUGGUGGCUGCAGGCAAAAAACCUUGCCGUAUUGCUCCUGUCUCUUGCAACAAGUUUGACAGUGAUUAUGCCAAGUUUUUGAGAGGUUGCUUUCAUCUUUGA
rnacentral:lncRNA from 1 species